GGUUCAGUGGUGUAGUUGGUUAUCACAUCUGUCUCACACUUUGGGGCGCACAGGUGGUCCCCGGUUCGAACCCGGGCUGAAUCA
rnacentral:tRNA from 1 species